GUGGGGAAUCUUCCGCAAUGGACGAAAGUCUGACGGAGCAACGCCGCGUGAGUGAAGAAGGUUUUCGGAUCGUAAAGCUCUUUCGUUAGGGACGAACGUGCUCUUUGUGAAUAAUGAGGAGUAAUGACGGUACCUAAAUAAGAAGCCACGGCUAACUACGUGCCAGCAGCCGCGGUAAUACGUAGGUGGCAAGCGUUGUCCGGAAUUAUUGGGCGUAAAGCGCGCGCAGGCGGGAUAUCAAGUCUGUCUUAAAAGUGCGAGGCUCAACCUCGUGAGGGGACAGAAACUGGUAUUCUUGAGUAUCGGAGAGGAAAGUGGAAUUCCUAGUGUAGCGGUGAAAUGCGUAGAUAUUAGGAAGAACACCAGUGGCGAAGGCGACUUUCUGGACGAAAACUGACGCUGAGGCGCGAAAGCCAGGGGAGCGAACGGGAUUAGAUACCCUGGUAGUCC
rnacentral:rRNA from 1 species